CGAGCACGAACAUCAAGGCACAACACCUGAGGAAGCAGGGUAAUUAUUUUGAAGGGAUAAACUCUCAGCCACAACACUAUCACUAAUCAUAACCGCAUCACUAUUGUCAAAUUUGAGCAUGCACCUAGCCNNNNNNNNNAUUCAAGCGCUUGUUGAUAGCUGAAAGUUGUUUCGAUGGACUUUCGUGACGCCGAGUGCUCCCUCCAAAUAAAGCAUAGUAGCUUUUAGUCAAUAUAUUUGAGUUCAAAGCAUCCCUCUUUGAUGGUCGUAAUGGGGACAGGUAGAC
rnacentral:misc_RNA from 1 species